rnacentral:rRNA from 1 species
GACGAACGCUGGCGGCGUGCCUAAUACAUGCAAGUCGAACGCUGAAGGAGGAGCUUGCUUCUCUGGAUGAGUUGCGAACGGGUGAGUAACGCGUAGGUAACCUGCCUGGUAGCGGGGGAUAACUAUUGGAAACGAUAGCUAAUACCGCAUAAUAGUAGAUGUUGCAUGACAUUUGCUUAAAAGGUGCAAUUGCAUCACUACCAGAUGGACCUGCGUUGUAUUAGCUAGUUGGUGAGGUAACGGCUCACCAAGGCGACGAUACAUAGCCGACCUGAGAGGGGGAUCGGCCACACUGGGACUGAGACACGGCCCAGACUCCUACGGGAGGCAGCAGUAGGGAAUCUUCGGCAAUGGACGGAAGUCUGACCGAGCAACGCCGCGUGAGUGAAGAAGGUUUUCGGAUCGUAAAGCUCUGUUGUAAGAGAAGAACGAGUGUGAGAGUGGAAAGUUCACACUGUGACGGUAGCUUACCAGAAAGGGACGGCUAACUACGUG